rnacentral:rRNA from 1 species
UUCCUACGGGAGGCAGCAGUGGGGAAUAUUGCACAAUGGGGGAAACCCUGAUGCAGCGACGCCGCGUGAGUGAAGAAGUAUUUCGGUAUGUAAAGCUCUAUCAGCAGGGAAGAUAAUGACGGUACCUGACUAAGAAGCCCCGGCUAACUACGUGCCAGCAGCCGCGGUAAUACGUAGGGGGCAAGCGUUAUCCGGAUUUACUGGGUGUAAAGGGUGCGUAGGUGGCAUGGCAAGUCAGAAGUGAAAGCCCGGGGCUCAACUCCGGGACUGCUUUUGAAACUGUUGAACUAGAUUGCAGGAGAGGG